UACGGGGGGGGCAAGCGUUGUUCGGAAUUACUGGGCGUAAAGGGCGCGUAGGCGGCCUGGUAAGUAGGGGGUGAAAUCCUGCGGCUUAACCGCAGGGCUGCCUUCUAAACUGUCAGGCUCGAGCACGGUAGAGGCAGAUGGAAUUCCCGGUGUAGCGGUGGAAUGCGUAGAGAUCGGGAAGAACAUCAGUGGCGAAGGCGGUCUGCUGGGCCGUUGCUGACGCUGAGGCGCGACAGCGUGGGGAGCAAACAGG
rnacentral:rRNA from 1 species